CUAAUAAGGAAACAAGAACAAAGAGAAAAUAUGGCAGACAGAGUGGGAGGGUCGUCACAAUUGUCAAACAGUAGUGAGUGAUGUGAGGGUUGAAAAUAUGCUUGGCCUAUCAUGAGGGUGUCUGUGUGUGCUGGAAGUAACAUUUUGCAACAUAUGGUGUGACUAGCGGGAAGGCUAUGGCUAACCUUGGGUGUAGGCAGUUAUCAUGAGUUGUGGGGGACACAUACAGAGCAUAGUGUUGCGAAAACAAACUGUAUUUUGUUAGACAAUAGCAGGAGCCAGAUGUGUGAUAACUGUAUCUAGGGUAUGAGCGCUUAGAUAUUCUGCACAGCAACAACUACACCUGCUAACGGGAGCGCCUGGGGCUGGGACCAGCCUGUGCGCCAACGAUAGGCUGAAUUCGAUUGACGCAACGCUAACAAUUGGUGAAAAAUUGUCUGGCCGUUUGGCCAUUGCUUGUCGUCGGACGGUGUGCCUCACAAAUCCUGACCGGUCAACUAAAAAAGGAAGGUGCUGGUUCAGAAGGUGAGAUAUUGCGGCCGGACUGGACAGGGGAUGAUGAAAGAGAAGGUGAAGACGAUGAUGAGGCAGAGGGAGAGGAAGAAGACAGCCGUC